AACCACAACGCGUCAGGAACAGUGAAGAAGGUCGGGACGAUGAAAAGAUAAUUUCCCGGAAGAUGGUAAAUCGAUAUCAAGGGUGUGCUCAGACUAUAGCACCAAUACCGACCAGAAAGGCUGGCCCUUGCCCUUCUCAUGCUGUCAGGAAAAGUCACCACAGGCCCCCGGGACCUUGCUCAAGCCUAUCCUUCACGGAUGCCAUCAGAACGUCGGGCAGUCGUUAAUAUGUAACACACCCUCACGCACACGCACAAGCCACGGUCUACCAGCUGUCUGAACAUUCCUCAGCACAACCAAGUCAACACACGAAAUUAACCAUCACAGUAAGUAUUCAGUCAGGAGAUAUUGGCUCUUUUUUCUGCUGGAGAGAGAAAAUUCUUCCAUUAAUCUGUGGUAAUGACACAUUAAUACGUGUUAAUAUGUGUUAAUGACCAAAUAUGAAAUAUCUUCUUUUUAUUAUUAGUUUAUACAAGACAGUGAGUAAGAGCAGAGGUUUGGUUUCAUAAAAGCCUUUUCUGUUUGACCGUAUGGUUCCAGGCGUAUAAUUUAGCAAUUGUAGUUCCAGACAUUUCAUAAACAUUCGGAGCACCUGCCCAACCUUGAGGGUCCCGGGUGAGUGAGAGUCCCUCGCUUACACCACGCCAACAUGUCCCUGCCGUGAGGAACGAACUCGCACAGAGGAGCCAGUCCCGGAGAAAGUGACUUAUGUGGGGAGCCCACCUUGGGGCCUCUGGAGGAGCCCAGAAACUCUGCACAGCACCUCCCUGUGCCUAAAACGCCCGCAGACGAAUUAGCACAACCACGCCCAUCUGCAUAUGGUAAUGCUGACUCACACCCGGCAGCUGCAAGAUAAGAGAAUUCUGGAAGUUUCCUCAGUCUUUAUGCCUCUGAUAUUUACUGCUUUAACUCCUGACAUCCAAAAUAUAAAACUCAU